UGUGUAGGCGGAAGCGUAAGCGUUUUGUGAAAUCCCUCGGCUUAACCGAGGAAUUGCUUGACGAACUGCGCUUCUUGAGGCAGGUAGGGGUGCGCAGAACUCUUGGUGGAGCGGUGGAAUGCGUAGAUAUCAAGAGGAAUGCCGGUGGAGAAGUCGGUGCACUGGGCCUGACCUGACGCUGAGACACGAAAGCGUGGGGAGCGAACG
rnacentral:rRNA from 1 species